GGAUAGUAACUCUCGCAAGAGGGCGAACUCCUAUUCACUUAUAAACACAAAGUCUAUGAAUGUAUUAAAUUUUAUAACAAAAUAAAACUUUCAACAACGGAUCUCUUGGCUCUCGCAUCGAUGAAGAACGCAGCGAAAUGCGAUAAGUAAUGUGAAUUGCAGAAUUCAGUGAAUCAUCGAAUCUUUGAACGCACCUUGCGCUCCAUGGUAUUCCGUGGAGCAUGCCUGUUUGAGUGUCAUGAAUACUUCCACCCUCCUCUUUCUUAAUGAUUGAAGAGGUGUUUGGUUUCUGAGCGCUGCUGGCCUUUAGGGUCUAGCUCGUUCGUAAUGCAUUAGCAUCCGCAAUCGAACUUCGGAUUGACUUGGCGUAAUAGACUAUUCGCUGAGGAAUUCUAUCCUUCGAAUAAAAGCCGGGUUGGGUUAAAGGAAGCUUCCAAUCAGAAUGUCUACAUUUUAAGAUUAGAUCUCAAAUCAGGUAGGACUACCCGCUGAACUUAAGCAUAUCAAUAAGCGGAGGAAA
rnacentral:rRNA from 1 species